rnacentral:rRNA from 1 species
AUACAUGCAAGUCGAACGCUUUUUCUUUCACCGGAGCUUGCUCCACCGAAAGAAAAAGAGUGGCGAACGGGUGAGUAACACGUGGGUAACCUGCCCAUCAGAAGGGGAUAACACUUGGAAACAGGUGCUAAUACCGUAUAACACUAUUUUCCGCAUGGAAGAAAGUUGAAAGGCGCUUUUGCGUCACUGAUGGAUGGACCCGCGGUGCAUUAGCUAGUUGGUGAGGUAACGGCUCACCAAGGCAACGAUGCAUAGCCGACCUGAGAGGGUGAUCGGCCACACUGGGACUGAGACACGGCCCAGACUCCUACGGGAGGCAGCAGUAGGGAAUCUUCGGCAAUGGACGAAAGUCUGACCGAGCAACGCCGCGUGAGUGAAGAAGGUUUUCGGAUCGUAAAACUCUGUUGUUAGAGAAGAACAAGGAU